CGUACGUGUUGUAAUGGUUCUCCUCGAUCCGCUCGAGGAACAGGCACUCUUCGCCCGGUAGCUGCUGGAAGAGAGCCGCGGGUGGCGGCAGUGAGCCCCUGCCCCGUGUCUGUGCCCUGCCAAGGUGACACGGGGCAUGCAGAGCUACGAGGUUGCUGCAGACCUCAGAACCUCUCGGUGCCCGCUCCCGCAGGAGCCUCGCGCUUACCGAGCCGUACAGGAGCCCGUUGGUGUCCAUUGCCAGAUGCGUCCCUUUGGGGUCGCUAUUAGAACAGCGAGAUUUCCUAGGGGAGAACAGCCGUGAGGGAAGAAGCGUUCUGUGUCAGCCGAGGCCUAAAUUCCUUCUGGCAGCGAGCAGUUCCCGACGGGCCCCUCU